CUCAAGCUAUUGGUUCGAGGCUGAAGUGUUUUUUUGGUUUCCUCUACAAAGUUUGCAAGCAAUGAAAGGGCUUGUCACAUGACUUCUUGACUUAUAUUUUGGAAAAAUCUGGUAGUUGAUCAUUCCUAUUUGGCUUCAAGUUGCGUUAGCACUACAAGUAGGCAUUUUGCAAUUGCUUCGUCUCUUAUAU